rnacentral:rRNA from 1 species
GUAACACGUAAAGAACCUGCCCUCAGGUCUGGGAUAACCACGAGAAAUCGGGGCUAAUACCGGAUAGGUCAUCGAACCGCAUGGUUCGAGGAUGAAAGGCGCUUCGGCGUCGCCUGGGGAUGGCUUUGCGGUGCAUUAGCUAGUUGGUGGGGUAAUGGCCCACCAAGGCGACGAUGCAUAGCCGACCUGAGAGGGUGAUCGGCCACACUGGGACUGAGACACGGCCCAGACUCCUACGGGAGGCAGCAGUAGGGAAUCUUCCACAAUGGACGAAAGUCUGAUGGAGCAACGCCGCGUGAACGAUGAAGGCUUUCGGGUCGUAAAGUUCUGUUGUAAGGGAAGAACAAGUGCCGCAGGCAAUGGCGGCACCUUGACGGUACCUUGCGAGAAAGCCACGGCUAACUACGUGCCAGCAGCCGCGGUAAUACGUAGGUGGCAAGCGUUGUCCGGAAUUAUUGGGCGUAAAGCGCGCGCAGGCGGCCUCUUAAGUCUGAUGUGAAAGCCCCCGGCUCAACCGGGGAGGGCCAUUGGAAACUGGGAGGCUUGAGUAUAGGAGAGAAGAGUGGAAUUCCACGUGUAGCGGUGAAAUGCGUAGAGAUGUGGAGGAACACCAGUGGCGAAGGCGACUCUUUGGCCUAUAACUGACGCUGAGGCG